GGCGGACGGGUGAGUUUCACGUGGGUUUCCUGCCUGUAAGACUGGGAUAACUCCGGGAAACCGGGGCUAAUACCGGAUGCUUGUUUGAACCGCAUGGUUCAAACAUAAAAGGUGGCUUCGGCUACCACUUACAGAUGGACCCGCGGCGCAUUAGCUAGUUGGUCAGGUAACGGCUCACCAAGGCGACGAUGCGUAGCCGACCUGAGAGGGUGAUCGGCCACACUGGGACUGAGACACGGCCCAGACUCCUACGGGAGGCAGCAGUAGGGAAUCUUCCGCAAUGGACGAAAGUCUGACAAAGCAACGCCGCGUGAGUGAUGAAGGUUUUCGGAUCGUAAAGCUCUGUUGUUAGGGAAGAACAAGUGCCGUUCAAAUAGGGCGGCACCUUGACGGUACCUAACCAGAAAGCCACGGCUAACUACGUGCCAGCAGCCGCGGUAAUACGUAGGUGGCAAGCGUUGUCCGGAAUUAUUGGGCGUAAAGGGCUCGCAGGCGGUUUCUUAAGUCUGAUGUGAAAGCCCCCGGCUCAACCGGGGAGGGUCAUUGGAAACUGGGGAACUUGAGUGCAGAAGAGGAGAGUGGAAUUCCACGUGUAGCGGUGAAAUGCGUAGAGAUGUGGAGGAACACCAGUGGCGAAGGCGACUCUCUGGUCUGUAACUGACGCUGAGGAGCGAAAGCGUGGGGAGCGAACAGGAUUAGAUACCCUGGUAGUCCACGCCGUAAACGAUGAGUGCUAAGUGUUAGGGGGUUUCCGCCCCUUAGUGCUGCAGCUAACGCAUUAAGCACUCCGCCUGGGGAGUACGGUCGCAAGACUGAAACUCAAAGGAAUUGACGGGGGCCCGCACAAGCGGUGGAGCAUGUGGUUUAAUUCGAAGCAACGCGAAGAACCUUACCAGGUCUUGACAUCCUCUGACAAUCCUAGAGAUAGGACGAACCCUUCGGGGGCAGAGUGACAGGUGGUGCAUGGUUGUCGUCAGCUCGUGUCGUGAGAUGUUGGGUUAAGUCCCGCAACGAGCGCAACCCUUGAUCUUAGUUGCCAGCAUUCAGUUGGGCACUCUAAGGUGACUGCCGGUGACAAACCGGAGGAAGGUGGGGAUGACGUCAAAUCAUCAUGCCCCUUAUGACCUGGGCUACACACGUGCUACAAUGGGCAGAACAAAGGGCAGCGAAACCGCGAGGUUAAGCCAAUCCCACAAAUCUGUUCUCAGUUCGGAUCGCAGUCUGCAACUCGACUGCGUGAAGCUGGAAUCGCUAGUAAUCGCGGAUCAGCAUGCCGCGGUGAAUACGUA
rnacentral:rRNA from 1 species